CGGGUGAGUAACGCGUGGAUAAUCUACCUUCGAAUCGGGGAUAACAUUGCGAAAGCGAUGCUAAUACCGGAUAAUAUCUAUUAUUCUUCGGGAUUUUAGAUCAAAGAUGGCCUCUACUUGUAAGCUAUUGUUUGAAGAUGAGUCCGCGUCCCAUUAGCUUGUUGGUGGGGUAAUGGCCUACCAAGGCAACGAUGGGUAGCUGGUCUGAGAGGAUGAUCAGCCACACUGGAACUGACACACGGUCCAGACUCCUACGGGAGGCAGCAGUGAGGAAUUUUGCGCAAUGGGGGAAACCCUGACGCAGCAACGCCGCGUGAGUGAUGAAGGCUUUCGGGUCGUAAAGCUCUGCCAAGUGGGAAGAAAAUAUAUAUAGCCAAUACCUUUAUAUACUGACGGUACCACUGAAGGAAGCACCGGCUAACUCCGUGCCAGCAGCCGCGGUAACACGGGGGGUGCAAGCGUUAUUCGGAUUCACUGGGCGUAAAGAGCGCGUAGGCGGCCAGGUAAGUCAGAUGUGAAAGCCCGGGGCUCAACCCUGGAAGUGCAUCUGAAACUGCUUGGCUUGAGUAUGGGAGAGGGUAGUGGAAUUCCUGGUGUAGAGGUGAAAUUCGUAGAUAUCAGGAGGAACACCGGUGGCGAAGGCGACUACCUGGACCAAUACUGACGCUGAGGCGCGAAGGCGUGGGGAGCAAACAGGAUUAGAUACCCUGGUAGUCCACGCAGUAAACGUUGUUCACUAGGUGUAGCGGGUAUUGACCCCUGCUGUGCCGCAGCUAACGCAUUAAGUGAACCGCCUGGGAAGUACGGCCGCAAGGCUAAAACUCAAAGAAAUUGACGGGGGCCCGCACAAGCGGUGGAGCAUGUGGUUUAAUUCGACGCAACGCGAAGAACCUUACCUGGAUUUGACAUCCUGGGAAUUCUAUCGAAAGACUGAAGUGCCCUUCGGGGAACCCGGUGACAGGUGCUGCAUGGCUGUCGUCAGCUCGUGUCGUGAGAUGUUGGGUUGAGUCCCGCAACGAGCGCAACCCCUGUCUUUAGUUGCCAGCAUUCAGUUGGGGACUCUAAAGAUACCGCCCCGGUUAACGGGGAGGAAGGUGGGGAUGACGUCAAGUCCUCAUGGCCUUUAUGUCCAGGGCUACACACGUGCUACAAUGGGCUGUACAUGGUAGCGAUGCCGCGAGGUGGAGCCAAUCCCAAAAAGCAGUCCCAAGUUCGGAUUGGAGUCUGCAACUCGACCCCAUGAAGUUGGAAUCGCUAGUAAUCGCGGAUCAGCAUGCCGCGGUGAAUACGUUCCCGGGCCUUGUACACACCGCCCGUCACACCAUGAGAGUUGAUUGUACCGGAAGUUGUUGGGCCAACCUUUCGAGGAGGCAGGCACCUAUGGUAUGAUUGAUGAUUGGGGUGAAGUCGUAACAAGGUA
rnacentral:rRNA from 1 species